CAAGUCUUGACAUCUGGGUGACAGGAGGGCAAUGCCUCUUUCUCUUCGGAGCACCCAAGACAGGUGGUGCAUGGUUGUCGUCAGCUCGUGUCGUGAGAUGUUGGGUUAAGUCCCGCAACGAGCGCAACCCUUAUCUUCAGUAGCCAGCGGAAGAAGCCGGGCACUCUGGAGAGACUGCCAGGGACAACCUGGAGGAAGGUGGGGAUGACGUCAAAUCAUCAUGCCCCUUAUGACUUGGGCUACACACGUGCUACAAUGGCGUAAACAAAGGGAGGCGAGCGAGCGAUCGUAAGCAAAUCUCAAAAAUAACGUCUCAGUUCGGAUCGUAGUCUGCAACUCGACUACGUGAAGCUGGAAUCGCUAGUAAUCGCGAAUCAGCAUGUCGCGGUGAAUACGUUCCGC
rnacentral:rRNA from 1 species